UGAUAGUUUUUUUUUGUUUCUAUUUUAGUGCAAAACUGAACGUAGGACGUAAACAAAGGAAUUGACUGCCAAAGACCUAAAUAUUUCUUAAAUGUUGGCAUGCCCGCAACAUAUCAAUCGGGAUGUUGAUCUAAAAGUCCCUUCCUUGCAUUUCAAGAUGACAAUAAGUACAUGUGUAUGUUUGGCUUAACUAAAGUCCUUUGGAUUGUGAUAUAGUUGAUUGGUAGCCGCUCCGGCCGACACGACGGCCUCACUUAUUC